rnacentral:rRNA from 1 species
UCCUACGGGGGGCAGCAGUGAGGAAUAUUGGUCAAUGGGCUUACGCCUGAACCAGCCAAGUCGCAUGAGGGAAGACUGCCCUAUGGGUUGUAAACCUCUUUUGUCAGGGAGCAAUUGGCGCUACGUGUAGCGUUAUCGAGAGUACCUGAAGAAAAAGCAUCGGCUAACUACGUGCCAGCAGCCGCGGUAAUACGUAGGGGGCAAGCGUUAUCCGGAUUUACUGGGUGUAAAGGGAGCGUAGACGGCAGGGCAAGUCUGGAGUGAAAGGCGGGGGCUCAACCCCCGGACUGCUCUGGAAACUGCCA